CCUACGGGGGGCAGCAGUGAGGAAUAUUGGUCAAUGGGCGCGAGCCUGAACCAGCCAAGUCGCGUGAGGGAAGACGGUCCUAUGGAUUGUAAACUUCUUUUAUAUGGGAAUAAAACGUUCCACGUGUGGGGUUUUGUAUGUACCAUAUGAAUAAGGAUCGGCUAACUCCGUGCCAGCAGCCGCGGUAAUACGGAGGAUCCGAGCGUUAUCCGGAUUUAUUGGGUUUAAAGGGAGCGUAGGUGGAUUGUUAAGUCAGUUGUGAAAGUUUGCGGCUCAACCGUAAAAUUGCAGUUGAAACUGGCAGGCUUGAGUACAGUAGAGGUGGGCGGAAUGCGUGGUGUAGCGGUGAAAUGCUUAGAUAUCACGAAGAACUCCGAUUGCGAAGGCAGUUCACUGGACUGCAACUGACACUGAGGCUCGAAAGUGUGGGUAUCAAACAGGAUUAGAUACCCUAGUAGUC
rnacentral:rRNA from 1 species